AUGGCCCGCUCCUGCCCGCUCCUUGCCAGCACGGACACAGACAAUUCUCCACGCCCUCCAGGACAGGUAAGAUCGCCCCAACCCACACCCACCACGCUCCACAGAAAGCAGGAAGGUGACACGAGCGGGCCAGGACAGCAGCGACCGCUCCAUCAGGAUGACAGAAGACAGACGGAUGUGGUGAGAUGCUCCAAACCCUCGGGCACAGAAGCUGGGGCUGCCCGUGGUCACAGCGGGAUGCUGCUCCGUUUGUUCCUUCCCUUCUUAAAGCCAGAAACAGACGGCGAUGGGACCACACCACAGCAGACUCCUGGCCUCUCUCCCCUUCAGACCUCAGCUGGAGAAUGUGUCAAUGCUCUACAGGACAGAUCAGCGACCCCCCAACCUAUUCCCCACCAUGAUCACAAGGCCUGUGGAGUUGCUAAAACAUGGAUAAUUCUUGGCCCACAGGGAGAAACUGGAUGGACGGCACUAUUCUGGAAACACACACGGCGAUGGGAACAGACCACGGCCCAAUCCUGGCCUCUCUACCCUCAAGAACACAUCUGGAAGGAAGAGCUGCCAACGCUCUCCAGGACAGGACAACGGGACAUGGACAGCCUUGCCAGAAACACACAGGA
rnacentral:lncRNA from 1 species